rnacentral:lncRNA from 1 species
AUCCCCGAGGCGGCCCUGCGCCCGGGCGCGCCGGCUGGGGCUCUGGCGCUCUCGCAGGCCCCGAGGCCGACAGUCCCGGCGAGGGCGGGCGCCCCGCGCUCCAGCACCGGCUGCCUGAGCGCUCCUGGAGCAGCAAACCCCAGACUUCUUCCUCCUUCUCUCCUUCCUUCCUUCCCCCUCCCCUUAUCUUUUUCUUUUUUUAGUCUCUUUCUCCCUCUUUUUCUGCCCUGUGUCCUUUUUAUUUUUUCUCUACGACUGUUUUUGCAAGUUUGUUUCAAAAGUUCACAGCAUGCUUUCUUUUCUUUUAGACCGGGAGACAGUGAUCUCACCCACACGGUAAGAUCAAAAGUCUCCGCUCGCCCAGCCUGCGGGCUUGGGCUGGGUCCAGACGUCUCCCAGGAUGCAGAUGCGCCGCCGCUGGCCUCCCCGGCUAUAAAGCCGCCUCCAGCGCCUUUCCGCGCGCAGGAGCGCUCGGAGUUGUGGGGUACGGACCCCAG